UCUCUCUCUCUCUCUCUCUCUCGCGAUUGCGAGAAAACAAAGAAUUGUUUUUGGAAUCGUCUGGGUGUGGAGGAAGAGGAGAUUGCUGUCAGCUCUGAUUGCAUGUAGGAGAGGUGAUUCGAUUAUCAUCAUCUCCUCAUUCCGAGGGUCGUCAUGAUGAAACCAUAACAAUUCGGUGGUCACCAUCUGCGAAUUCAGUGAACCAAAUCCACAACAACUUUCAGAUUUUUUCAAGGAUUCGUGUGUGAGCUUGCUGAAAUCAUAAGCACCCAAAGAAGGCAAAUCGCUUAUGGCAGAGGAAGAAAGGUCCCGUCGUCUCUCUCGUGUCAAUGGUGCAAUGAUGGGUCUUAUGUUACACACUAAAGCAAAAAGUUUAAUAGAAAUGGAAAUGUAUUCUGAUGCAGUUGAAGUGCUUGCUAUGGCAGAGUCGACAGGAGAAAGAAGCAGAGAAUGAGGGUGAUUAGCCCUGGGCGUUCGGAUUUUCGGAUCGGAUCGGAUCGGUUUUUUUGGAUUUUGGACUUUUCGGAUUGACAUAUAUAGAAUCCAUUUAGAAUCCGACUCUGAAUCGGAUCAGAUCGGUUCGGAUUCGUUCGGAUUCGGAUCGGUUUUCAAUUUUUUUCUAAAAUCCAAACUGAAACCGAAUUGGUUAUAUAUAUGAUUUUGGAAAGUAAAAACAGAAAGUUUGAAUAGCUCAGACGGCUAGGGCGUGUGUUUCAUUACCUCAAUGCCUCCGGUUCGAAUCCCCAGCAUGGGCUUAGGGUGAUGGUUCGAGGAGAGGGCUUUGGUUCCCUGAAAAGUCUCCACGAACAGAGCUCUUGCACUGUUUGUGCGAUGGCUUUCACAAGGCAUGCAUAGAGCAGCAGUACCACCACCUCGACCUCAUAGACCUGCUGCGAGAGCUGAUAAUGAUCCCGCAGCUGCUAUGCCAA